rnacentral:rRNA from 1 species
CCUACGGGAGGCUGCAGUGAGGAAUAUUGGUCAAUGGGCGCAGGCCUGAACCAGCCAAGUCGCGUGAGGGAAGACUGCCCUCUGGGUUGUAAACCUCUUUUAUAAGGGAAGAAUAAUGACUACGUGUAGUCAGAUGCCCGUACCUUAUGAAUAAGCAUCGGCUAACUCCGUGCCAGCCGCCGCGGUAAUACGGAGGAUGCGAGCGUUAUCCGGAUUUGUUGGGUUUAAAGGGUGCGUAGGCGGUAGUUUAAGUUAGUGGUCAAAUGUCGGGGCUCAACCCCGGCCUGCCGUUGAAUCUGGCGGACUCGAGUGGGCGAGAAGUAUGCGGAAUGCGUGGUGUAGCGGUGAAAUGCAUAGAUAUCACGCAGAACUCCGAUUGCGAAGGCAGCAUACCGGCGCCCGACUGACGCUGAGGCACGAAAGCGUGGGUAUCGAACAGGAUUAGAUACCCUUGUAGUC